UACGUAGGGUGCUAGCGUUGUUCGGAAUCAUUGGGCGUAAAGCGCGUGUAGGUGGCUUGUUAAGUCGGGUGUGAAAUCCCUGGGCUCAACCCAGGAAGUGCAUUCGAAACUAGCUCGCUAGAAGAUGGUAGAGGAAGGUGGAAUUCCAAGUGUAGAGGUGAAAUUCGUAGAUAUUUGGAGGAAUACCAGUGGCGAAGGCGGCCUUCUGGACCAUUCUUGACACUGAGACGCGAAAGCGUGGGGAGCAAACGGG
rnacentral:rRNA from 1 species